ACGCUGGCGGCAGGCUACACAUGCAGUCGAGCGAGGUAGCAAUACCUAGCGGCGGACGGGUGAGUAACGCGUGGGAACGUACCCUUUGCUACGGAAUAGCCUCGGGAAACUGGGAGUAAUACCGUAUGUGCCCUUCGGGGGAAAGAUUUAUCGGCAAAGGAUCGGCCCGCGUUGGAUUAGGUAGUUGGUGGGGUAAUGGCCUACCAAGCCGACGAUCCAUAGCUGGUUUGAGAGGAUGAUCAGCCACACUGGGACUGAGACACGGACCAGACUCCUACGGGAGGCAGCAGUGAGGAAUAUUGGUCAAUGGGGGCAACCCUGAACCAGCCAUGCCGCGUGGAGGAAGACGGCCCUAUGGGUUGUAAACUCCUUUUGUACGGGAAUAAUAGCGCCUACGUGUAGGCGUAUGAAGGUACUGUACGAAUAAGGAUCGGCUAACUCCGUGCCAGCAGCCGCGGUAAUACGGAGGAUCCAAGCGUUAUCCGGAUUUAUUAGGUUUAAAGGGUGCGCAGGCGGCCCUAUAAGUCAGUGGUGAAAGUUUGCGGCUCAACCGUAAAAUUGCCAUUGAUACUGUAGGGCUUGAAUAUGGUAGAGGUAGGCGGAAUGUGUAGUGUAGCGGUGAAAUGCUUAGAUAUUACACAGAACACCGAUUGCGAAGGCAGCUUACUAUGCCAUGAUUGACGCUGAGGCACGAAAGCGUGGGUAGCGAACAGGAUUAGAUACCCUGGUAGUCCACGCCGUAAACGAUGAUUACUGGUUGUGUGCGAUAUACAGUGCGCGACUGAGGGAAACCAUUAAGUAAUCCACCUGGGGAGUACGUUCGCAAGAAUGAAACUCAAAGGAAUUGACGGGGGCCCGCACAAGCGGAGGAACAUGUGGUUUAAUUCGAUGAUACGCGAGGAACCUUACCUGGGCUUAAAUGUAGAGUGCAUGGCUUGGAAACAGGCCUUUCCUUCGGGACUCUUUACAAGGUGCUGCAUGGUUGUCGUCAGCUCGUGCCGUGAGGUGUCGGGUUAAGUCCCAUAACGAGCGCAACCCCUAUCGUUAGUUGCCAGCGGGUAAUGCCGGGGACUCUAGCGAAACUGCCGGUGUAAACCGAGAGGAAGGUGGGGAUGACGUCAAAUCAGCACAGCCCUUAUGUCCAGGGCUACACACGUGUUACAAUGGCCGGUACAAUGGGCAGCUACCAGGUGACUGGAUGCUAAUCUCCAAAGCCGGUCUCAGUUCGGAUCGGAGUCUGCAACUCGACUCCGUGAAGUUGGAUUCGCUAGUAAUCGUAUAUCAGCAAUGAUACGGUGAAUACGUUCCCGGGCCUUGUACACACCGCCCGUCAAGCCAUGGAAGCUGGGGUACCUGAAGUACGUAACCGCAAGGAGCGUCCUAGGUAAA
rnacentral:rRNA from 1 species